AAAGCGGAGGAAAAGAAACCAACAGGGAUUGCCCUAGUAACGGCGAGUGAAGCGGCAACAGCUCAAAUUUGAAAUCUGGCUUCGGCCCGAGUUGUAAUUUGUAGAGGAAGCUUUUGGUGAGGCACCUUCUGAGUCCCCUGGAACGGGGCGCCAUAGAGGGUGAGAGCCCCGUAUAGUCGGAUGCCGAUCCAAUGUAAAGCUCCUUCGACGAGUCGAGUAGUUUGGGAAUGCUGCUCAAAAUGGGAGGUAAAUUUCUUCUAAAGCUAAAUACCGGCCAGAGACCGAUAGCGCACAAGUAGAGUGAUCGAAAGAUGAAAAGCACUUUGAAAAGAGGGUUAAAUAGCACGUGAAAUUGUUGAAAGGGAAGCGUUUGUGACCAGACUUGCGCCGUUCCGAUCAUCCGGUGUUCUCACCGGUGCACUCGGGACGGCUCAGGCCAGCAUCGGUUUUGGCGGGGGGAUAAAGGUCCGGGGAACGUAGCUCCUCCGGGRGUGUUAUAGCCCCGGGCGUAAUGCCCUCGCCGGGACCGAGGUUCGCGCAUCUGCAAGGAUGCUACGUAGGU
rnacentral:rRNA from 1 species